rfam:Myotis lucifugus cont2.9051, whole genome shotgun sequence.
GCCAGUGUGGCUCAGUGGUAGAGUGUUGGCCUGUGCACCCAGGGAUCACAGGUUUGGUGACCUGUCAAGGGCA